AAAUAAAAUUGAUAUGGUGGAGAAGGAAAAGGAGAGAGAGACUCCCUGCUUAACUGAAAUUCCAUUAUCUUACAGAUUUUAUUACCUGAAAGAAUCAUAAAUAUUGAAGAGUUCCAUUGUACUUUUUUCUACAAAUGUUGAACCACGAGAGACAAUGAAAAGAAACACAGUUGACUAGUGCUGUUAACAAGAGAUGUUGUGGAAUUGGUAUACUAAGCCCAUUUCAGGCCAAAACAUGUACAAGUUUCGAAUCUGCAAAAUGAACACUGAUUAAAGCAGUUGCCACUCAUCCUCCUGUGCACAACCCUCUGCGUCAUUCAUGGGCAUUACACCAAAGGAAUCAUCCUCUUCAAUCUCAUCAUUUUCAUUUAAAGUGCCAUGGCCAACUUGCUUUGGCAAUUUACGGGUAUGAGCCACAGUAAACAAUGGUGCACCGUGCGAGUCAUCUGCCAGCUCAGAUGCCAAAGAACAAAAUACAUCAAAAUCAUCUGUUCAGCAGCAAGCAGAAACAUAAUAAAGGUAAGAUACAUUGUGAAUGAAUCCCUUUCGAAAAGCUUUGAUAUUAGAAAAAAGUCAAGAUAAAACAGAAAACCUUUGUCUCGACAAUAAAAUCCGAUUGCCAAUGAUGGAUCAAUGGAAUCCAGGGGGAUGUGCCGUAUGACACUAGACAAAUAUCACAAAUAAGAAUCAAAUCAGGGAAAGAAAAGAAUUUUAACUUUUCAUAGCCAAUGUAGAAUAAAAUUAUUAAUCCUGACAAGCAACUUACUCGCAGUGAUAAGAUGAAGUGUCUGCCUCCAUGCCAUCUCUGCUAAUAUUGACCACCUGAAUAACCCAAAGAUCAACAAGGAACAGGCACUAUUGAACAGCUCACAAUCAAGUCAAACACGUGCAACAAUGUUAUGAUGCAAUUUUCAGCCACAAACAAUAAAUCCAGUGCUAAACUGUAUUUUGAUAUGUUCAGCAUGUGUAUACACAUGCACGUACCACAAAAAUAAGAAGAAAAUAAAGUUAGAAAACACCAUAGACAUGACCAAGCUUUAGAAACAGUAACUACAAGUACACAGAUUUUAGUAAAUUAAAUUCCAUGAUUGACUAGAAUACCCCUCCUUUUAAGUGGAAGAAAUGAACUAUUAAAGAGAGAGAGAGGGGGGAGGGGAGAGGAGGAAAAAAAACUUUAUGGCCUUUUCUCAAGGAGGCACAAGCCUAGCGUCUGCCACCUCGCAUGAACUGUUUGCUUGAACACAAUAAGAGCCUGGCUGAUAGCUCUAAAAUCACCAAGGUGCUUUUUCACUGAGCCUCAGCACCUAGGCACACACCCCACUCCCCAUGCCCCUUUGACUAUAUUACCAAAAGCUAAAAAAGAUCAUAAACAUACAAAUGUAUAAAUACAUGUAAGAACUUCUGUGGAAAAUACAAGUCACAACUGGCUUUACUGGAGCUUUGAUUAUAACUUUAAUGGACACCACAUAAAUUAGAUUUCUUAAUGCCAGCAUCCGGCUUUAUUGCUAACCAAUUAGCCCUAUUGUUUGUCCAAAUGAAUAAAGUGCUUCUUGCCUCUGAAACUUGACAAGCCUAAUCAUCCAAAUAAAUUAAUUGCAGAAAGUAAAUAUUGCACACAUUCAGAGGAUCACAGUAGUCAAUUCUUAACCCUCAGUACCAUCAUCACAACAUAGAAGUCACCACGAGAAAAAUGCGAAAUGCUAAAAUUUUUACCAAAACAUAGGACAGGAAAAUCCUUGAUAAAGUCUUCCAAACUCCCAAUGUAUUUUUUCAUGCAAUUGUCAAACUUUUCUUUUUAUUUAAGAUGAAGAAUUCAGCUUUAUGACAAGGUUAAAUAAGUCCUACUAACCUUAUGCCACUGCAAUUUUUGGUAUUUUGUCGUAUAUUUCAUUAACCAAAUGUAUACAAUUGUCAUUCAAACCAAGUGACAAUGGAAAAACAAUCAACUAUAAUUAAAGAAAUUAAAUAUUAUGCUUUACCGGUUGAACAUCAUGUGGAUCAAGGUAAAAAGCACAGUCAUCUUGCACACCAACAAUGUAUGUUGAGGCACCAGGUUUCCCGCCCAUAAUGCCAAGGCUUUGGGGAAAAGUAAAUGUUGCCUGCAAAGAUGGAAUAUACCUUGGAUUUACUUUUUCAAGUCCAAGAACCAAAGGAACCAACAGAAGAAUCGGUGUCCAAUUUGCUUGACCUCCAGAAAACUCUAAACAAUGUCUAGAGGCAUCUUCGAUGCAGACAACUGGAGCUCCACCCCUUUCCCCAUCUUCAUCACCAGAAACAACAUAAACAGCCAUUGGAAGUAGCUGGUAUUCAAGGUUGUUGUCCUUUCUCUUGAAGCGGGCAAGCGAUUCCCAGGAGUGGCACACAGCAUAUGGGCCUACCCAUGACCCAGCUGCAAGGCUAUAAGCCUUCCCAGCAUGGAUAAGAUUGUGGAUAGAGAAUGGUGAUGCCUCAGAGUCACCAAGAAGGUGCAAGAUCUCAACAUAUUGAUGAUCCAAUGGCUUCUGUAAAGGUUUUCUCCAAGAUCUCCCCAAAUGAUGAAAAAGCAAUGCCUGAGCAACAAGCAUCUGACUGCUUCGAAGCAUGCAACCCCAGCCCACAUCACUGAUAAAUUUUGAAUCUCCAAUUGCAUCGAAACCUCUUCGAUAUGUCAAUAAAAUUCGCGAAGAAAAAUCAUGUGUGAAUGCAGCUAAUCCAUUGCUUGCAGCUGCAUCCCCGGAGGACUCAUCUUGUGAAAUCUUAUAGCACACACCUAGAAGCCAUAUGUCACUAGUUGUGCUAGGUAUCCCAGUCCUGCUUGGCCCUAAAACACGCUCAUGGAUUCUCCGCAUUGAGCCACCUGCCACAAUUUUCUUCAUAGCUGACAUCCAACCAUUGUUUCUAGUAUGACUUCCCUUCUUCUCAAAAGCUGGUGCCUCACGAUAUGUUUCAAAGACUGAGAAAGCAGAUGCAAAGAAGCUUGACCAUAAAGAGCCCUUGGAGCACUUACUGUUAAGGGACCCUGCUUCUGAACAAUCAGAUGUCAAAGAUCUAUUUGGGGUAUCAGUUGUAGUUUUAGAAGAACAUUUUGAGGAUACCCUCUCACGAAAACCCUUCAUUACCUAGUCAGCAGCAGCAGCAUACAGUGAUGGAAUCGGUUCAUAGACGCAACCCAAGUUUGAAUAAUUUAUCUGAAUAAUUGAAUUGGGCAGAAAAUUCUCCUUCCCAAGGGUGGGUUGGUGGGUCUUGGCUUGUGUUCCCGAGUAGAGAAGCACAAACCCAAAAAAACUAAUCAAACCAAACCAAGGAACAAAACUAAAAUAAUUAUAUAGGUAUUCUUGAAAGAAUUAACUUUUGACGAUAGGAUGAAUUCGAUGUUUCAUCCGUAGCUUUUUGUUUUCUCUUGUUCCUCUGGCUUUAUGCCUUAAUCGGCUAUUGGAAUGCUGGAAAUUUGACAGUAAAAUAGCUUGAUCAGGCAGGGGAGGCUAGUGGUGUCGCCGGCUAUAGGCGGUCGGAGUUUACCAGAUAAUUGCUCUCUCUCUAUGUCUCUCUCUCU
rnacentral:misc_RNA from 1 species